AUUGAACGCUGGCGGCAUGCCUUACACAUGCAAGUCGAACGGUAACAGGUUAAGCUGACGAGUGGCGAACGGGUGAGUAAUACAUCGGAACGUGCCCAGUAAUGGGGGAUAGCCCGGCGAAAGCCGGAUUAAUACCGCAUACGACCUACGGGUGAAAGCAGGGGAUCGCAAGACCUUGCGUUAUUGGAGCGGCCGAUGGCAGAUUAGGUAGUUGGUAGGGUAAAAGCCUACCAAGCCUACGAUCUGUAGCUGGUCUGAGAGGACGACCAGCCACACUGGGACUGAGACACGGCCCAG
rnacentral:rRNA from 1 species